CGACAACCCUUCUAGAAAAUCAGGGUGCGGCGGGGCGGGAGAAGAAACUACAGACGCUAAACCUGCACUCUCUGCCCGUCAGGUAUUGAGCCUUUCCCAGAGCCCAGAAGUCCGCAAUGCGCGUGCGCCUUCUUCAGUCUGACUUGGCUUAUUAUUCCAGGGCCUUUUCGGCCACCGUAGCGAAGAAGAGGGGCUGUCUUGAGCUUCCGGCAAAUCUCCGGCAAGCUGAAUACCAUCCCUGGCAGUGGGAUGAACACCGGAAUAGAGGCCGAAGUUCGCUGCUGCCUCGGCGCCACCUGACCUGGAGUGACUGCUGAGUUCUGGGGACUACUCAGGGCCCCGAAGUCUGUGGCGGUAAGAACAUUAAAAAAGAAAGGAAGUACAGAGGGUGUGUAACAAUGGAAGAUUGCAUGGAAAGUUCUCCUUUGCUGUUAGUACAUCUUAGGAAAACAUUCAGCUGGAACAUAACCAGGCUCAUAGGACUCAGCUUACUUCCCUUUUCUCUGAAGAUGCCAGAAGCUACUUUCUUUCCAGAGACUUUUCUUCCUCCAAGACAGAUUGUGAGAUGGGAUUCUUCUCACCUCCUCUCUCGUGUAUGUCGCUGAAAUGAAGUCCAUAGUGUUUCUUAUUUUAAGCAUUUGCAUUUGCCUUUGUAGAGAGUAGAUGGGGGAAUGACAGAGGACAGAGGUAGCAAAUAGGGAGACACGUGAUCAAUUUUACAGUGUUCUAAUAUUCUCCUUCCUUCACCUGUGUUUUCUGGGUCCUUUCCUCUCUGUGAUCUGCUUCUUUUAUCUCAGCACAGAGCUCAAGGAGCACCACUUCUCCAGUUCCUCACCAUUCAGGGGCCCUCUGGCUGUAGGAUGGUCAUUUACAUCCCAGGGGCUCCAGCCUAGGUGCUUCACAUUCAAACAUCUGUGUUCCAGGUGGAAAUCUCUACUGCUUUUGAGCAACUUAUUUAAUCCCCAUAAUUAUUCUGCAUGGUACCUCAUCAUUUUGGAAACAGAUUUAGGGAGGUUAAGUGGUUUGGUCACAGUUAUAGAGUUAGUAAAAUCAGGGCUAGGAGGGGACCACAGGUCUAUUUGUCUCCAAAAUGUAUGUUUCUUCCACUCUUCCAAACUGCGUCACCUCAACACUGGGUGAUUUCCUGGCAAUCAUGGACUAUCACAUGAAAGCAUAUGAAGGCAUUCCUGUUGUUAUGUUGAUCUUAGUGUUUGUAUCUUUUAUCAUUUUUAACUUUUAUUUUAAUAUUUAGGAAUAUUGUCUCCAUAUUCUUCAUACAGCUAACUGAAGACAGAAACACUGUUUUAUGUGUCACUGUAUUAGCCAAUGCACCUUUACUAAGGGUUUACUGCAUAGCAUGUGUUUACCGUAUAUUUAUUGGUUAGUUGUUCCAGAAAGGUUUCAGGAAUAAAUAGCUUCUUUUACCUGUUUUCUUUUUUAUGUAUAGUGUAACUAGGAUCAUAAUUCUAAUUUUUCUUCACUGAGUGACAGUCUUGCAAGUGAAGAGUGAUCUCAGCACAUGACAAACGACAAAACAAAACCAAAACAUGUUUAAAAUUGUGUGUCUAUAACGGGCCACGUAGAAAUGGGGUAGUGGUUUAAAAAAAAAAGGUCCUGGACAGAGAAGCAGAAUGUAGAGAUGAUGGCCAAUGUAUAGAGAGUUUACACUUUUUUUCAGGACCAAUGAAGAGACGUAAGAAGGAUUAGGUCUAUCAUAUUUGUCUUAGGAAUGUUACGCUGGCUGUACCAGAGAGAGUGGAGUGAAGCUGGAAGCAGAGUGAUCUGGUCGCCCUUAUUUGGGAUCUAGCUUUACUUCCCCAGCCCCACCCAACUUCCCACAUUACUGUCCUAGCCAGGAUGCGUAAUCCUGUUAAUCAGUGGGAAAUUGAGUUUCCACUAGACAAUGUCCCACCUCAAAUAAUCAGGCAGGAGGAGUUUCCUCUCACUUAGCUUUUUUAUUCUAUUCAGAUUUUCAGUGGAUCAUUAGGAAGGCACAGUCUGCUUUAGUCUACUCAUUCAGAUGUUACUCUUAUCCAGAAAUACCCUCACAGACACGCCCAGAAAAAUGGGGAAGACAAACUGGCCAAGCCUGGGUCAUGAACUUCUGGGGCUGAAUCUCCUCUGGGGCCAAGGGAGACCCACCCAAGUGAUGCAGAAUGAAGAUAAGUGGUUUUCCAAUGGAAGGUGGGGAAAACAGUCCAAUAAACUUAUCUUCUUUUUGGCCACACAAGUAAUACACAAUUACAUUUUUAUUUUAUAAAAUUGCACACUCUUCACUACAUUUAAAAAGGAUAUAUUGACAAUAUGUUACCAAUCCUUGAUUGAUAAGUAGGUAGAUAAAUAGAUGAUAGAUAGAUAGUAAAUAUCUAGAUUUUAGCAUCAGUGAUAGGCUCAAUAUAACUGUAGGUACCGGGGCCACAAAAAUGAGUGAGACCUGGGGUUCUUAGUCUCAUGAAACUCAUGACUAAUGAGGAAAUUUAAACAAGUAAACAACCAUUAUAAAACAGUGUGAUAAUCACUAACAGGUAUGAUGACAGAUAAUGAUUGGUGAAAUAAAAACUCAUAUUCUAAGGCAAGUUAAGGAACAUUUAAACAUAAAAUUUUUUCUCUGCCCUUUGGCCUCCUCUUUCGCCUCUACUGUGCAUUGUGUAGCUGCAUUAUGCAUCAACCACACCCCCCUUUUGGCAGAAAUACUGGCUCAACCAUAAAGAGCAACUAUCUCCUAGCACCAACAACUCCUAAAAGAUUAUGUUCCUUUUUGAUCUUGUUACCUGAAAACUGGGUUCUCCUCUUGGUGGGUGUUGAGCCAGUAGACACAACAGAGCUAAAGAUCACGAGAAGGAAGGAUUUAUUACUUGCGGGAAGUAAGGAGAACACUGGGGAUCACUCCCAAAGCAGUGUCUCCCAAACAGCAAAAUUGGGGAAGCUUUAAGCUAAGGGUACAUGUAUAUUCGUGAAGGGGCUUGAGCAGAGGAGAAUUCAGCCUAGAAUUGGGGCACAGGUUGAUUGAAGUCAUCAUUCUAUCCUCCACCUGGGUGGGGGGGGCCUUAGUUCCUGCAGAACUCAAAGAUAUGUUGUGUAUAUACCUUGAGGAGCCAGGACCCUGCCCCAAGACUGCACUAUUGUUUCUUGACUGCUCCUCCCUAGUUUCUGCAUUCCCUCCCUUAAAAUCAUUAAUUACUUUGACCUGUUUAAGGGCAAGCAUUGUGGCCAGGCUUAGGUCACAAAAUGGCUUAGGCCAAAAUGGAUUCUCUUAUGUCAAGAAAGCCAUUUCUGGUUCUCUUUCUCAGGGGACCCCCUAACCUGUCUCCUUACAAUCUUGUAAAGGGUCACAAUGAUCCACCAUUUUGUAUUUUCAGAUUUGGAUUGUGCAAACUAUCUACAUCAUUUAAUGUAUAGCCCCAUCUCAAAAAUGUAUAUAACUGUGGGGUUUUUUUUGGUAAUUCUUUUUUUUUUUAAUUUUAAAAUUUUAUUUAUUUAUUUUUGGCUGCAUUGGGUCUUCGUUGCUGCAUGCAGACUUUCUCUAGUUGCGGUGAGCGGGAGCUACUCUUUGUUGCGGUGGGCUUCUCAUUGCGGUGGCUUCUCUUGUUGCGGGGAACGGGCUAUAGGCGCACGGGCUUCAGUAGUUGUAGCACACAGGCUCAGUAGUUGUGGCACGUGGGCUCAGUAGUUGUGGCUCACGGGCUCUAGAGCUCAGGCUCAGUAGUUGUGGCACAUGGGCUUCGUUGCUGCACGGCAUGUGGGAUCUUCCCAGACCAGGGCUUGAACCUGUGUCCCCUGCAUUGGCAGGCAGAUUCUUAACCACUGCACCACCAGGGAAGCCCUAUAACUGUGCUUUGACCUCUAACACCCGAAAUAGUUUUGGGAGCUUUCUGAGAGGCUGUUCCAGGUUAAAAUCCUCAAUUUGGCUUGAAUAAAAUUUUGCAUUUCUUUCUUAGAUCAACUGAUUAAUUUUUCAUUGACAUGAUCUUGCAUAAAAGAAUAAAAUCCUUCUUGGUCUUUUAUGGUACUAUUUCUUGCCUUUUUUGGCGUUUGUGGGGAACAUAAAAAUAAAGAAGACAAACACACUGGAUUUAGAGUCAGCAGACUGUGGGUAACCUCUAGCUCUGGGUCCUUAAUUAAGCAAGGAUAUGACCGCUAUUUGUUCUGUUGUCAUGAGUGUAAAAUGAGGAGGUUGAACUAGAUUAUCCUCUAGAUCACUCUUUUAAAAUUCUAAAUAUUUGCAUGUAUGAGAUUGUACUAAUCCACGGUGACUUCAUGGGAAUUGUUGAAUAGUCAGGAUGUACAUGAACUGAGAAGCCACUAGAUGUCAUACACUUCAUAGAUUUUGCUUAUCAAACCCUAUUUUAAAUGCCAGGUUAUACGGGAAGCUGAAUGGGACCUUAAAAUUCAUGUUGUUCAAUCAUGUCAGUUAAUUAAAAACAAAAAUAGACUAUUUGAACUAUAUAAAUCAAGUGAUUUAGCUAAGAUCACAUAGCUAGUUAGCAUUAAAACUAGAUUUCUUGACUUCUAUUCCAGUGGACUUUCCUCUCAUUAAAGUAAGUAAAUCUUGGAAAAGAUGUUUUUGCAUCAGUUAUCAACUGAUUAUUUUUUUUCUCUUCUUGAAAUUAUUCAGAGUAAUUUUGGGGGUCUGGAGUAGAUUGUUCAAAUUGUUGUGACUUAAUUUAGUACCAGUAACACUGGGCAAAAAAGUAAUAUUGUUCAUAGAUUCCUACUCUGCUUUGAGACCUGUUGGCAGAUAACUCACAGGAGGAUAUAAGAAACUGGGUAGAUGUGAAUGAAAAUGGAAAUCAAAGUUCACAACCACCUAGCUUAUCUGAAGGUUAGACUUUGGCAACCUCAGGUUUUCCUUUCUUAACAUGGUCCUGAGUGGAAAAGUUGAAAAGGGCUUUCUUUGAAAAGUGAAACAGCAUUCUUAAGAUCUCUGCACCAAACUUAUUAACAAUAAUUUCUAUGUCAUUCCUUGAACCUUAUCUGACAUGCCGUUUUUAAUAAACAUGGUUGUCUAAUUCUUGGUUUAGAUGACUUCAGGGUGUUUGAAACAGAAAUGGGACUGUAAGAGGCAGGCCCACUAAAAUGGGAAGUUACAACAGAUAGCCUGAAAGGAAUAAGGGGGAAAAUUGCUAAACUCAAAGGAACAAAACUAUAUUACAUAAUUAUAAGAUAAUGAUAUUUACAUUUAUAUUCGGCUCUUCAAGAAAAGGUUAAAUUGCCUUGACUAUCCUUUAUGACAUAUAAGUUUUUUGAGAAGGAUUUCUUACAAAAUGAUUAAAAUGCAGCUUUGGUGUCCAAAAGGAAUGUUUUGUUUAUAUGAGAAAGUCAUUUAUGUAAUGCUUAUAAAUGAGAAGUUAUAAUAAAUCCUUUUUUCGGGAUGGGGCUGGGAAUGGAUCCUGUAUAUAAACAAUGAGUCUGUUAAUACUGGUUUCAUUUCCUGAGUAAAUUGAGAAUAAUACUACUACUGCAUAGGGGCACUAUGGGAUUUUUUUUUUUUUUUUUUUUUUUUUUUUUUUGCCGUACGCGGGCCUCUCACUGUUGUGGCCUCUCCCGUUGCGGAGCACAGGCUCCGGACGCGCAGGCUCAGUGGCCAUGGCUCGCGGGCCCAGCCGCUCCGUAGCAUGUGGGAUCUUCCCAGACAGGGGCACGAACCCGUGUCCCCUGCAUUGGCAGGCGGACUCCCAACCACUGCGCCACCAGGGAAGCCCCCUGGGAUGUUUGAAAGAGUGUGGAAAGUGGGAAGUGCUACAUAACUGUAAGCUAUUAAGAUGAUGACAGUAAGGAAAAGUGAACGCACAUGCCCUCCCAAGAAAAGCUCUCUGUGGGGAGAUGAGCUGAGAAAACAGGAGAACCCAGAAUUUAAAAAGACAGAAUAACAGAAAGGAGGGUGGGCCAUGGGUUAACUUCUCUGUGGUGGUAAAUAACAGGACUGAUCUACUUUCUGAAAGAUAAGAAAUGAUCAGAGAGAUUCUGCCAGGGAUUGGAAAAUGGGGACACUCUGAACCAGUACUGAGGUGUGACCCAUCUGUGCUCAUGAAUGCAUGUAACACUAUGGCUCUCCAGCUGGGAUGGAACUUUGUGAAGCUAAGGGACCAGAUCUUGUAUUCUCCCCAUUUUUUUUUUUUCCUGCUCAAAUGCAACAUGAAGGAACACCAGGACCUGUAUAGCAUCUUCCUUAAGCUAUUUUCAGUUUUAUUUUAUAUCUGCCCUGGGUUGGACAACUGGGGUAUUCUGCUGUUUUUCCUAUUUUAUGUAGUCUGGCUUCAGUCUUUUUCUCCCUCUUUUUAAAUCUCUUGUUGAAUUUAUACUCACAAAAUAAGAGUUGCUUGUUGUAGGCAAAUUCCAUUUGGUUUCAAUGAGGAAGCAAGACAAGUUGGCCAUUACCUGUGUUCGCAUUUUUCAGGCAUGUGCGGAUUGAAUUACUGUAUUCCCUCAACAUAGAAAUACUGGUUAUUCCUAGUAAAUAACCAGCAAAUAUGCUUUAUUUCAAUGUGGGAAUUUCAUAUUCUCCUGUAUAUUACUGGAAAAAAAUUUAUUUCCCACAUAUUUUGAUUCCAUCGUAGUAGUGCUGGUCAUGUUGUUGUGUGUUCCCAUUAUAAACUUUGUUUGUCAGGCUUUUGUAACUUGGCUGUAAAAUUCUGCCUCAAGUCUGAGACUUGCUCUUAAUCCCAGAGCCAUUUAGGAAAGAAGAAAAUAAAUUUACCUUAAGUUGAAUAAAAUGUUAAAGAGUCAAAAUAAUUAACAGCUACUCAAUACUCUGCAAUGGCCUAUAUGGAAAAAGAAUCUAAAAAGAGUGGAUAUAUGUAUAUGUAUAACUGGUUCACCUUGCUGUAUACCUGAAACUAAUACAACAUUGUAAAUCGACUAUACUCCAAUAAAAAUUAAAAAAAAAUUAACAUCAAAACCUCCAAUGGUUCAAAUCUAGUUGCUAUUUCUUUUUUUUUUUUUAUCAACUCCAAACCCUAAAGCAUAAUUUUUGAAUUCACUAAGUUCUUUCAUUCUAUAUGACUUUUAGUAUAGUUUGGAAGUUCAUCUUUGGAUCAGAGAAAGACGUUGUAUCUCAGCAAAUAAACCGACAUAACAUCUGGGUGAGAAAAUAAUUCUAUUUGUAAAAGUUUCUUGUUUUUAACAAAGUAGCUUUGUAAGGGUUACAUAGUAGAAGGGCAGACGACACAAUGGGCCAGGAGAAACCAUUUAUGUGUGUUCUGAUGCUGUCUUUUUUCAACCUCAGUGAUAAACCCAUGGAGGGGGUUUAAUAAGCAGGAUUAUUAAACCUGUUUAUUAACCUUUUCUCUCUUGAGUUACUUGCAUAUGUUUUCCCUUUUUAAGGAUUUAGUUCAAAUUCUACUUUUUAUUUUAAUAGCAAGGGUGUUCUGGGGAUAGAAGUGAAGAGAACAAAGCUACACAUCAAAUUCACUUUGUAAAAGUGUCUCUUUAGAGCUUAUCAGUAAGUGAGCCCGGGUGUUGUAGAAGUAAAAUACUUUUUUCAGUUGAACUGUCUUUCUGGACACCUAAUUUGUAACUGCCAAUUUGUCUGCACUCCUCAGCUUUUAACCUACGGGCUCAAUGAUCAUUGGAGUGACCCUGAGGCUUUUGUUGAACUUAUUUUCAGAGAUCAAGCCUCCAGUUGGGGACACUCCCCCUGGGGACGUUUUCUGCAUCCACUGACUUCAAAGCAAACUGAGCCCAGAGGGAGAUAAGCACAGUGGGGGGAUGUCUGAGCCAAAGUUUUAUCAAGAAUAUUUUGGGGUAGGGUUCUUGGGAUGAACAAACCUAUGUACAACAUUUAAUCAACUUCAAAGCCCUAAAUGAUAAUGUUUGGUUUUAGUAAGUUCAAUUUGAAUUGAAAGCCAAUCAGUUGAAAAAAAUAGCAAAUGUGUUAUGGGACCGCAAGCUAAACAUACUUCCUGAAAGAAAUGACCUCCUUUAAGGUUCUGUAAGUGCAGGAAGGAAUAUGGGGUGGCAAUGGGGAUAAGAGAAUCCCCGUCACCACCUUGCUGGGUGGUUUUCAGUAAGUUGCUAUACUUCUUUGAAAGUCAGUUCCUUUCUAUACACAUACACAGAGAGAGAGAGAGAAAGAAAAGAAAAGAAAAUUGAGCUAUCACUAUCAUAAUAGUUGUUUUUUAUUGUUCAUCCAGGAAUUGGAAACUCUGGAAAGGGCCAAGUAGCAAACAUUUUCAGCUUUACAGACCACAUGGUCUCUGUUGCAGCUACUCAGUGCUGUUGUGAACAGAAAGCAGUCAUAGACAAUAUGUAAAUGAUGAGUGUGAAUGUGUUCCAGUAAAACUUUACAAAAACUGGUGGUCUGCAGGCCAUAAUUCUCUGACUCUGGGUUUAAUGCAUGCUUGCAUACUUAUUAUGUGCCAGGCACCGCGUUGACUGCUUUACGUACAUUAGUACAUCUGAUGAGGAAGAUACUAUUUUUUGUAAUUUAUUUAUUUAUUUAUGGCUGCGUAGGGUCUUCGUUGCUGCGAGCAGGCUUCCUCUAGUUGCCGCGAGCUGGGGUUACUCUUAGCUGCAGUGCGUGGGCUUCUGAUUGCAGUGGCUUCUCUUGUUGUGGAGCACGCUCUCUAGGCGCGUGGGCUUCAGUAGUUGUGGCUCGCGGGCUCUAGAGCAUGGGCUCAGUAGUUGUGGCACACAGGCUUAGUUGCUCCACGGCAUGUGGAGUCUUCCUGGACCAGGGCUUGAACCCAUGUCCUUUGCAUUGGCAGGGGGAUUCUUAACCACUGCGCCACCAGGGAAGUCCGAGGAAGGUACUGUUAUUGUCAUCAGCCUAUGAAUGAGGAAACCAAAGCUCAGAGAGGUUAAUCCACUUGCACAAGAACACAUGUAGCUGGUAAAUGGCAGAGCUGAGUGCUGGCAUCACAUCUACCUGCCUCAGCCUCAAGACAGACUUACCUACCUAAGAGAGCUUCCGUAAGAGAACUGCUAGGCUACAUCACUGUAGACUGGGAAAUGUGACCCAAAUCUUAAUAACUCCAACUGGUGAGUGCCGUAGUAUAUUUUGCCACCAAACAUAUUUUCCAGAUGAUUCUUGUAAUUUAGCUUUGGUAAUAGGGGUCAAAAUAAUUUUUUUUCAGAUAUACGACUCUACUUGUUUCAUUCAUAUUUUAGCUUACAAGGGAGGGAUUCUUCUUCUCUCCAAAUGUAUUUAAUAAUUUUUCCACUUUUUUUUCUCCCCUGAAAGCAAGAGAAGUGUUAAGAUGUACUGUUUACUUAGAUCUGAGUUCCUCAUUUUAAGUGAAAAAACCCCAAAGCAUAUUAUUUCUGUUUUUCCCCUAAGAGAAAAAAAAAAAGAAAUGGAAACAAUGAGAAAGCUUUGGCAAAUACCAUAAAGAUGGUGAAUUGGGGCUUCCCUGGUGACGUAGUGGUUGAGAGUCCGCCUGCCGAUGCAGUGGACACGGUUCGUGCCCCGGUCCGGGAAGAUCCCACAUGCCGCGGAGCGGCUGGGCCCGUGAGCCAUGGCCGCUGAGCCUGCGCGUCCGGAGCCUGUGCUCCGCAACGGGAGAGGCCACAACAGUGAGAGGCCCGCGUACCGCAAAAAAAAAAAAAAAAAAAAAGAU